UACAGAGGUCUCAAGCGUUGUUCGGAUUCAUUGGGCGUAAAGGGCGCGUAGGCGGCUUGCUAAGUCGGACGUGAAAUCCCUCGGCUCAACCGGGGAACUGCGUCCGAUACUGGCGAGCUUGAAUCGGGAGAGGGAUGUGGAAUUCCAGGUGUAGCGGUGAAAUGCGUAGAUAUCUGGAGGAACACCGGUGGCGAAGGCGGCCGACUGGACACAUAUUGACGCUGAGGCUCGGAAAGCAUGGGGGAGCAAAC
rnacentral:rRNA from 1 species